rnacentral:rRNA from 1 species
AACGAACGCUGGCGGCAUGCCUAACACAUGCAAGUCGAACGAGACCUCCGUGUCUAGUGGCGCUCGGGUGCGUAACGCGUCGGAACCUUCCCUUAGGUUCCGGAUACCUCCCUGUCAGGGGUGCUAAUACCGGAUAAUGUCUUCGGACAAAGGAUUUAUCGCCCUUGGAUGGGCACGCGUUGGUUUAGCUGGUUGGUAGGGUAAAAGCCUACCAAGGCGUCGAUCCGUAGCUGGUCAGAGAGGAUGAUCGGCCACACUGGGACGGAGACACGGUCCAGACGACUACGGGAGGCAGCAGUGGGGAAUAUUGGACAAGGGGCGCAAGGCUGAUCCAGCCAUACCGCGUGGGUGAAGAAGGCGUUCGGGUUGUGAAGACCUUUUGUGGGGAAAGAAAAGCAGCAGGUUAAUACCCCGCGGUUCUGACGGUACCCAAAGAAUAAGCACCGGCUAACUUCGUG